UACGGGAGGCAGCAGUGGGGAAUAUUGGACAAUGGGCGAAAGCCUGAUCCAGCCAUGCCGCAUGAGUGAAGAAGGCCUUCGGGUUGUAAAGCUCUUUUAGUGAGAAAGAUAAUGACGGUACUCACAGAAGAAGUCCUGGCUAACUCCGUGCCAGCAGCCGCGGUAAUACGGAGAGGGCUAGCGUUAUUCGGAAUUAUUGGGCGUAAAGAGCGCGUAGGCUGAUUAGUAAGUUAAAAGUGAAAUCCCAAAGCUUAACUUUGGAAUUGCUUUUUAAAAACUGCUAGUCUAGAGAUUGAAAGAGGAUAGAGGAAUUCCUAGUGUAGAGGUGAAAUUCGUAAAUAUUAGGAGGAACACCAGUGGCGAAGGCGUCUAUCUGGUUCAAAUCUGACGCUGAGGCGCGAAAGGGCGUGGGGAGCAAACAGGGAUUAGAUACC
rnacentral:rRNA from 1 species